UUCCAAAGUUUAUUCAGUUUAUGUUCCAAAGUUUAUUCAGUUUAUGUUCCAAAGUUUAUUCAGUUUAUGUUCCAAAGUUUAUUCAGUUUAUGUUCCAAAGUUUAUUCAGUUUAUGUUCCAAAGUUUAUUCAGUUUAUGUUCCAAAGUUUAUUCAGCCAUGGGUGUAGUACAGAGGACCCUCAAACAGGCUCACCAUAAAACACCUAAUUCAAGCUGAUUGUAGGGGUUGGGGGCAUAGCGCAACCCACCAUGCAUGCCCUGGGUCACUGUGGUGGGUGAGUGAUCUUGAGGUGGGCUUGGUGGCAUAGGGCAACCCACCAUGCAUGCCCUGGGUCACUGUGGUGGGUGAGUGAUCUUGAGGUGGGCAUGGUGGCAUAGGGCAACCCACCAUGCAUGCCCUGGGUCACUGUGGUGGGUGAGUGAUCUUGCAGUGGGCUAUUUUGUCAUGGGUGGUGCUGUAAGGUCCUGGUAGACUGAAUUAGCUACCCAUACAGUAUUCGCAAGUCAAAUUCUCUAUAGUAAACAACAAGAGAGACUCGGAUUUCUCGGCCACUUCUCAGAUUUCCCGUAGCCCAAACCCACAACACUCCCUGAACGCGCAUGUACGCUCGCAAGAGAGGCUUACAUAACUGACUCCUAUAGAUCUGGACCUCCUCUUUCCAAUGGUGCUUUUGGGUUUUAGCUGUGAUGUAUAGUUUUUGAGAUACAGAGGUUAAACGAGACCCCACAUUGGGCUGCCCGUCUGCGCCUGAAGGGGAUAGUCGGGUCUGUACUGCACGCAAGGAGAGGGUUAGAGGAGCUUUGUGGCCUCUGUGAACACAUUGAUGGGAGCUCACUAAGAGGACGAGCCAAGGUGGACCAGACACCAUAAAUGACUCUGCCUGAUAAGGAAACACUGUGCUCAAAAUUCCAGGAAAUGAGAAAAAAAGUUUAGAUGAGAAAUAUUUUGUUGGAGUGAAAGCUGGAAGUUGGAAAUUUUCAGGACAAGAAAUAUAGAUGUAAGAAAAUUUAGGCUUUGGAAAUACUGAUGAAAUGAAAGACUCGGUUUCGAAUUCCAGGAAAUGAGAAAAAAAGUUUAGAUGAAAAUAUUUUGCUGGAGUGAAAGCUGGAAGAUGGAAAUUUUCAGGACAAGGAAUAUAGAUGUAAGAAAAUUUAGGCUUUGGAAAUACUGAUGAAAUGAAAGACUCGAUUCCGAAUUCCAGGAAAUGAGAAAAAAAGUUUAGAUUAGGAAUAUUUUGUUGGAGUGAAAGCUGGAAGAUGGAAAUUUUCAGGACAAGAAAUAUAGAUGUAAGAAAAUUUAGGCUUUGGAAAUACUGAUGAAAUGAAAGACUGCUCCGAAUUCCAGGAAAUGAGAAAAAAAGUUUAGAUG